rnacentral:rRNA from 1 species
CCUACGGGAGGCUGCAGUGAGGAAUAUUGGUCAAUGGACGAGAGUCUGAACCAGCCAAGUAGCGUGAAGGAUGACUGCCCUAUGGGUUGUAAACUUCUUUUAUAUGGGAAUAAAAUGUUCCACGUGUGGGAUUUUGUAUGUACCAUAUGAAUAAGGAUCGGCUAACUCCGUGCCAGCAGCCGCGGUAAUACGGAGGAUCCGAGCGUUAUCCGGAUUUAUUGGGUUUAAAGGGAGCGUAGGUGGAUUGUUAAGUCAGUUGUGAAAGUUUGCGGCUCAACCGUGAAAUUGCAGUUGAAACUGGCAGUCUUGAGUACAGUAGAGGUGGGCGGAAUUCGUGGUGUAGCGGUGAAAUGCUUAGAUAUCACGAAGAACUCCGAUUGCGAAGGCAGUUCACUGGACUGCAACUGACACUGAGGCUCGAAAGUGUGGGUAUCAAACAGGAUUAGAUACCCGUGUAGUC